UACGUAGGGGGCUAGCGUUGUCCGGAAUCAUUGGGCGUAAAGCGCGCGUAGGCGGCCCGGUAAGUCCGCUGUGAAAGUCAAAGGCUCAACCUUUGAAUGUCAGCGGAUACUGCCGGGCUAGAGUCCGGAAGAGGCGAGUGGAAUUCCUGGUGUAGCGGUGGAAUGCGCAGAUAUCAGGAGGAACACCAACGGCGAAGGCAGCUCGCUGGGACGGUACUGACGCUGAGGCGCGAAAGCGUGGGGAGCGAGCAGG
rnacentral:rRNA from 1 species